CGUGAGCAACCUGCCUUUCAGUGGGGGACAACAGUUGGAAACGACUGCUAAUACCGCAUAAUGCAUUUUGACCGCAUGAUCGAGAUGCCAAAGAUUUAUUGCUGAAAGAUGGGCUCGCGUCUGAUUAGAUAGUUGGUGGGGUAACGGCCCACCAAGUCGACGAUCAGUAGCCGGACUGAGAGGUUGAACGGCCACAUUGGGACUGAGAUACGGCCCAG
rnacentral:rRNA from 1 species